rnacentral:rRNA from 1 species
UACGAAGGGGGCUAGCGUUGCUCGGAAUCACUGGGCGUAAAGCGCACGUAGGCGGAUUGCUAAGUCAGGGGUGAAAUCCUGGAGCUCAACUCCAGAACUGCCUUUGAUACUGGCGACCUUGAGUCCGGGAGAGGUGAGUGGAACUGCGAGUGUAGAGGUGAAAUUCGUAGAUAUUCGCAAGAACACCAGUGGCGAAGGCGGCUCACUGGCCCGGUACUGACGAUGAGGUGCGAAAGCGUGGGGAGCAAACAGG